rnacentral:rRNA from 1 species
UGAAUACGAGACGCUAAGGCGUCGAAGUAGUGUAUGUCAUACUUCCAAGAAAAGCUUGCACUGUCAUAGAUAAAAAACGCCUGUACCAUAACCGACACAGGUGGGUAGGUAGAGUAUACUAAGGGGCGCGAGAUAACUCUCUCUAAGGAACUCGGCGAAAUAACUCCGUAACUUCGGGAGAAGGAGUGCCUUAUUCGUAAGGUUGCAAUAACAAGAUCCAAGCAACUGUUUAUCAAAAACACAGGUCUCCGCUAAGUCGUAAGACGAUGUAUGGGGGCUGACGCCUGCCCAGUGCCAGAAGGUUAAAAAAGUUGGUUAGCAAUUGCGAAGCUGAUAACUGAAGCCCUGGUGAACGGCGGCCGUAACAAUAACGGUCCUAAGGUAGCGAAAUUCCUUGUCGGGUAAGUUCCGACCCGCACGAAAGGCGUAAUGAUUUGGAUACUGUCUCGGAGAGGGGCUCGGUGAAGUAGACUUGUCUGUGAAGAUGCGGACUACCUGCACCAGGACAGAAAGACCCUAUGAAGCUUUACUGUAACUUGAAAUUGAAAUUGGACUUUAUUCGCGCAGUAUAGGUGGGAGGCGUUGAUUAUAAUCUUGUGGGAUUAUUGGAGCCAUCAGUGAGAUACCACUCUUGUAAUGUUAGAUUUCUAACUUUGAAUCAUUAUCCGGUCAAAGAACAGUUUCAGGCGGGCAGUUUGACUGGGGCGGUCGCCUCCUAAACGGUAACGGAGGCGUACAAAGGUUUCCUCUGAACGGUUAGAAAUCGUAUCUAGAGUGUAAAGGCAUAAGGAAGCUUGACUGUGAGACCUACAAGUCGAGCAGGGACGAAAGUCGGUCUUAGUGAUCCGACGGUACUGAGUGGAAAGGCCGUCACUCAACGGAUAAAAGUUACUCUAGGAUAACAGGCUGAUCUCCCCCAAGAGUUCACAUCGACGGGGAGGUUUGGCACCUCGAUGUCGGCUCAUCGCAUCCUGGGGCGGUAGUACGUCCCAAGGGUUGGGCUGUUCGCCCAUGAAAGCGGUACGCGAGCUGGGUUCAGAACGUCGUGAGACAGUUCGGUCCAUAUCCGGUGUAGGCGUUAGAAUAUUGAGAGGAGCCUUCUUUAGUACGAGAGGACCGAGAAGGACAUACCUCUGGUGUACCAGUUAUCGUGCCAACGGUAAACGCUGGGUAGCUAUGUAUGGAGUGGAUAACCGCUGAAAGCAUCUAAGUGGGAAGCCCACCUCAAGAUAAGUAUUCUCAGC